rnacentral:lncRNA from 10 species
GAGACCUCAGGAGUGUUUGUGUCAGAACUGACUUCAAGGGACUCCUUCGGGGACACCAGAACCAGCCAGCUGACACCUCCUCUUCAGAAGUCUGAGUCCCAGGCCCACUGAUCGCUCUUCCAAGCUUCCAGGCCACAAUAAUGCCAACUGUUUCCCUUUGUUUCCUGACUCGGGGUGGUCAUUGUUCCCCACAGUUUCUACUUCCAUGAUAACUUUGAUGCUUUUGUGGUUCACAGCUUUAGAUCUGGUUAACAAUUCUUAAACACAUAAUAAAUUAAUUUUGCUGAAAAACUUAAGUUAAUUAUUAAGUGUUUCUUGUAAUAAACAGAAUAUUAAUGGUAUUAGGGACUCAGCUCCACUGAUUAUAAUAGAUACUGCAAACCUAACAUUAUAGAAAAAAAAGAGAACCUUUCAACAAAUCAUUUUACUUUUUUGUUUUAAAAAAAGCUUUACAUUGAAAGGACAGAACAAAUAAUGAAUAAAAUAAUUCAGCCUAACUGAAUGAGGAAAUAAAAGAAACUCAAGAUAUUUUAGGUAAGAAUAGGAUAGGGCAAAAAGGAAAAAAUGGAAAAUAUAGACUUUUACCACUAAGGUAGAAGACAUCAUAUUAAACAUCAUGUAUGAAGGCAGUAAGUGUUGGCAUGAGUUUAGUAAAAAAAAUGUUAAGCCAAACUACCUUGAUUGCCUUUCACCCCAAAUUAAAGAAUAUGUACAAUUUGUAAACACACAUACACACACACACAUCAAAAACUCGAAAGUGAAAAGUCAGGACAAUGUCAAAUAUACCACAUAAAUUAUCAAACAAGUUAACUUGAGAAAGCCUCUGCUGAUAUCCUUGUGAAUAAAAUGGAAUAAUGAAGUGAAUUAUUGUAUAGUCAGGUGGAUGUGUG